UAAUUACUCCCUCCGUCCCAAAAUUCUUGUCUUAGAUUUGUCUAGAUACGGAUGUAUCUAAUACUAAAACGUGACUUGAUACAUCCGUAUCUAGACAAAUCUAAGACAAGAAUUUUGGGACGGAGGGAGUACUAU
rnacentral:pre_miRNA from 1 species